AGAGCUGCGCAGGUCAGCUGUGUGUUUGACUGCGAGCCCGGUCUCAGUCCGCUCCAGGCGGUGUGGAAAAAGUUCCCUCGGGCUAAAAACUCGGACAGAAAGUGAAGCGGCGGGGAAGGACAGCGCGGGCCGGCGGUAAAUAGGUGCUUUCACUGCAUGGGAUACUAGAGAGAGAAUGUAGCCGGGGAGUGUGCAAAGGACAGGACAGGACAGAAGCUGUUGAACGUGACUUCUAGCCUGUCAGCACUGGAGGACAGACUUGCCCUUUAACCCUGUGCAGGAUUCAUUUAGCGAAUUCAUAAGUGAUGUGAAAGUGCCGUCUUCACCUGCUCUUCCCUCUGAGACUCUGAUCCACUAGAGGGCAGCAUAGCCUUUCUGUACUGGCUUUAAGCACACAGAUCCUGGAACUUCACUGGCCUCAGUGGUCUGCACCUGUUACCCCUCUCAUCCAAUCCUGUUCCCUCUCCUCCAACCUGCCCCACACAGG